CCCAUUGAGUCGGACGUGAUUAGAUCAAAUCUGGAACCUAUUGUAGAAACAUCUUUAAGGAGAUCCGGUAGAGUACCGCGUCAACCGGAUAGAUACUACAGUUUCUUAGUCUGGGAUGGGGAUCCAGUUGAACUCAAUGAGAACAAUGAGGAUUCGAUCACCUAUAUGGAUGCGAUGUAGAGAUCUGACUCUGAUAAGUGGUUGGAAGCCAU
rnacentral:lncRNA from 1 species